AAGCCUGUCCUGGGAAGACCAUAUGAUCUGACCACAAAGGGAUAAAGAUGUCUAGAUGCACUUGAAUCAAGCCCAGGCACCAGACAGACUGUGAGCACGUGUGUAGCCCAGGCCUAGCCUGACAACAGUCACAUGAACAACUCUGAGUGGAUCUACCAACUGAGCCAGAAACCAACUGAACUGAGAACCCAGGCACUGAGUCCCUGUACGCAUGUGCAUGAGAGCAUUCUUGUUCAUCUUACGUGAGCCAAAGCUCUUCAUGCCUGUUGAUCUGUUUCAUCCAAAGCCAAGUCGUCUUCAGGACCCACUGACAGGAAGUCUGUCUUUCUAAUGAACUUAACAGUGUCUCCCUGGAGCUUCCAGUCACAGGUCAUCACUGAGUACCUGCUGUGGGUCAUGCACUGUUCCAAGCCCUGGAUACAAUAAAGAACAAGACAAAAA